CCUACGGGUGGCUGCAGUGGGGAAUUUUCCGCAAUGGGCGAAAGCCUGACGGAGCAAUACCGCGUGAGGGAGGAAGGCUCUUGGGUCGUAAACCUCUUUUCUCAGGGAAGAACAAAAUGACGGUACCUGAGGAAUAAGCAUCGGCUAACUCUGUGCCAGCAGCCGCGGUAAUACAGAGGAUGCAAGCGUUAUCCGGAAUGAUUGGGCGUAAAGCGUCCGUAGGUGGUUUGUCAAGUCUGUGGUUAAAGCGUGGAGCUUAACUCCAUAAAGGCCAUGGAAACUGACAGACUAGAGUUAAGUAGGGGUAGAGGGAAUUCCCAGUGUAGCGGUGAAAUGCGUAGAGAUUGGGAAGAACACCGGUGGCGAAAGCGCUCUACUGGACUUAUACUGACACUGAGGGACGAAAGCUAGGGGAGCGAAAGGGAUUAGAUACCCAAGUAGUC
rnacentral:rRNA from 1 species